CAACUCGUCAAAGAGUCGGUUCAAAGAGUCGGUUCAAAGUGUCGGUUCAAAGACUCAAGUCGGUUUUCCAAAAGUGAAAGUGUUUCUUACCCUCGACUCCAUGUGGAGCAGCAGUUGGAAAAACAAAAAGAUCUUCAACAGCAGACAGAAGCGGUGAGAUUCAUGUCCAACAACAAGCAGUGCAGAAGAAAAGAGAACUGCUGGAUUCUUUAUGGAAAUACAUGGAUGUGAUUAUGGAGUGUGAUUGAUUCCAGCAGAAGAGAUCGGCGUCUUCAGGACUCUGCAUGUACACAAGCAGUGAAAAAUGGAGAUCCCUGACCAGGGGACAGAUCAUGUGACCUCACCCUCAAAAGACUGUAAACUACAGAGAGAGAAAUCACACUCACCAGUGCCCAGCUGUGUCUCCAUGAAGAGUGAUGCGUCUAUGUUUCGUCCUUGGGAAUUUAGCACUGGAUUCUCCUCACCUGGACACAGUGUUCUACAGAAGGCAGGAGACAGAAGAGAGAAGAACAUCAUCACAGCUACAGG